UGCUGCUUUUAUUUCCAGAGUAUCUGACAUAUUUGAAAGUGUUGAUGAUUCUCUGUGUGCUGAUGUGCAUGAGAGGUUUGUUAAAGGGAAGUGAAACAAUGUGUGAGUGAGUGACUGGUGGAGCAGAAAAAGCAUCUGACAGAAACUCCUUGAAGGACUAAACCAAGUCUCUCACAGUGAAGGUGUCCAAGUGGCUGCUGUUUGAUUGACAGCUGUGUGCUCCCUGUCCUCUAAGCUGAUUGGUGUCUCCUAGGUGAUGUCCGUCCCUCCCUGACGGUGCUGCCCCCCUCCACAGAGGAGCUGCAGCAGGGGAAGGCCACGCUCAUGUGUCUGGCCAACAAGGGCUUCCCCUCAGACUGGAGUCUGUCCUGGAAGGUGGACGGUGGCAUCAUCAGUAGCAGCUGGGAGGAGAGCAGGAGCCCCGGGGUGCUGCAGGAGGACGGCCUCUACAGCUGGAGCAGCACCCUGAGGCUCCCUGCAGACCAGUGGAGGAAGGUGGGCUCUGUGAGCUGUGAGGCCACCCAGGGCUCCCAGACUCCACUCUCAGAGAAACUGUGGAGAGACCUGUGUUCCCAGUCCUGACCUCACCCACUGGGAACACCAGGGUGCAUUGUGUGGCUUCAUUCUCCUGCUGAUCUCCGUAUUUCUCUUUCUCUUGUUGUCUCACUUUUGUAUCGUAACUUCAUCUUAUCAUUAUUAUUCACCCUCAGUGAUGCUGUUCAUGCUUCAAAACAAUAAAGAUGUCUCUCAAAUUA